rnacentral:rRNA from 1 species
UACGUAGGGUGCAAGCGUUGUCCGGAAUUAUUGGGCGUAAAGAGCUCGUAGGCGGUCUGUCGCGUCUGCUGUGAAAACCUGGGGCUUAACCCCGGGCCUGCAGUGGGUACGGGCAGACUAGAGUGCGGUAGGGGAGACUGGAAUUCCUGGUGUAGCGGUGAAAUGCGCAGAUAUCGAGAGGAACACCUGCGGCGAAGGCGGGUAGCUGGGCCGACACUGACGCUGAGGCGCGAAAGCCAGGGGAGCGAACGGG